UCUUGACAUCCAGAGAAUUUAGCAGAGAUGCUUUAGUGCCUUCGGGAACUCUGAGACAGGUGCUGCAUGGCUGUCGUCAGCUCGUGUUGUGAAAUGUUCGGGUUAAGUCCCGCAACGAGCGCAACCCUUAUCCUUUGUUGCCAGCACGUAAUGGUGGGAACUCAAAGGAGACUGCCGGUGAUAAACCGGAGGAAGGUGGGGAUGACGUCAAGUCAUCAUGGCCCUUACGAGUAGGGCUACACACGUGCUACAAUGGCGCAUACAAAGAGAAGCGACCUCGCGAGAGCAAGCGGACCUCAUAAAGUGCGUCGUAGUCCGGAUUGGAGUCUGCAACUCGACUCCAUGAAGUCGGAAUCGCUAGUAAUCGUAAAUCAGAAUGUUACGGUGAAUACGUUCCCGGGCCUUGUACACACCGCCCGUCACACCAUGGGAGUGGGUUGCAAAAGAAGUAGAUAGCUUAACCUUCGGGGGGGCGUUUACCACUUUGUGAUUCAUGACUGGGGUGAAGUCGUAACAAGGUAGGCGUAGACGU
rnacentral:rRNA from 1 species